AGACCAUGAACCCCUUGAUGUCAGGACCACGUCCCGUCAAAUCCAGAUGCCCAGAGGAGUUGAUGCCCAUGAAUGGACCUGAGGGAUCCCCCUAGCUUUCCAACUUUGGACAUGGUUAUUAUUUGGGGGAGGAUUGUCUCUUCUGAUCUUUGGAUUAAAGUAUCACUACAGUUUGAA